GGCCAGGUGCCAGAGUGGACUAAUGGGACGGAUUGCAAAUCCGUUUGUCGCGGGUUCGAAUCCCGCCCUGGCCU
rnacentral:tRNA from 1 species